GACGAACGCUGGCGGCGUGCCUAACACAUGCAAGUCGAACGGGGUGUUCCUUCGGGGACGCUUAGUGGCGAACGGGUGAGUAACGCGUGAGGAACCUGCCUCUCAGUGGGGGACAACAGUUGGAAACGACUGCUAAUACCGCAUAACAUUUCUGGACCGCAUGAUCUGGAAAUCAAAGCUUUAUGUGCUGAGAGAUGGCCUCGCGUCUGAUUAGCUAGUUGGCGGGGUAACGGCCCACCAAGGCGACGAUCAGUAGCCGGUCUGAGAGGAUGAACGGCCACAUUGGGACUGAGAUACGGCCCAGACUCCUACGGGAGGCAGCAGUGGGGAAUAUUGGGCAAUGGGGGAAACCCUGACCCAGCAACGCCGCGUGAAGGAAGAA
rnacentral:rRNA from 1 species